rnacentral:lncRNA from 1 species
UAAAAAAAGAUGCAGAAAAAUAUAAAUCCUUAGUAGACAAGUUUACACUUAGCUCAAUUAAAUUAAAUAUGAUUUUUGAUAGUUAAAAAGCUGUGUAUGAUAAAGCAGGAUUAGGAUAUAAAACAAAUAGAAAGUAAAAAUACUUAAAGAAUAUAUUUAUAAAAGUCAAAAAUAAAAAUAUAACUUGUCAUUAUUGCAAUAUAGUAGGACACAAAGCAUACGAAUGUAAUUUUAGAAAAUUCAACUAUAACAAAUUGAGUGAAAAGAGCAAACUAAAAUACAAAAAAACUUGGGUUCCAAAAGGAACAUCAAACACUAACCCUAAAGGACCCAACAUAGUUUGGAUACCUAAAGUACAUCCUUGAUUUUGAUUGCAGGUGUGUCUUACAGCCAAUGACAAGAAUAGACGUUGGUAUCUAGAUAGCGGCUGUUCAAAACACAUGACAGAUGACAUAGAGCAAUUUGUCACCUUGGAAUCUAAGGAUGGUGGAGU